GGUGAACGCUAGCUACAGGCUUAACACAUGCAAGUCGAGGGGUAACGAGAGGUAAGCUUGCUUUCCUUGUCGACGACCGGCGCACGGGUGAGUAACGCGUAUCCAACCUGCCCCCAACUAAGGAAUAACCUUGCGAAAGUAAGACUAAUACCUUAUAAUUUCCUCAGAUGUCAUCUGACGAGGAAUAAAGAUUUAUCGGUUGUGGAUGGGGAUGCGUCUGAUUAGCUUGUUGGCGGGGUAACGGCCCACCAAGGCAACGAUCAGUAGGGGUUCUGAGAGGAAGGUCCCCCACAUUGGAACUGAGACUCGGUCCAAACUCCUACGGGAGGCAGCAGUGAGGAAUAUUGGUCAAUGGGUGGAAGCCUGAACCAGCCAAGUAGCGUGCAGGAUGACGGCCCUAUGGGUUGUAAACUGCUUUUAUACAGGAAUAAAGUUAGCCACGUGUGGUUAUUUGUAGGUACUGUAUGAAUAAGGACCGGCUAAUUCCGUGCCAGCAGCCGCAGUAA
rnacentral:rRNA from 1 species